GACGAACGCUGGCGGCGUGCCUAAUACAUGCAAGUCGAACGCUGAAGAGAGGAGCUUACUCUUCUUGGAUGAGUUGCGAACGGGUGAGUAACGCGUAGGUCACCUGCCUUGUAUCGGGGGAUAACUAUUGGAAACGAUAGCUAAUACCGCAUAACAAUGGAUUACACAUGUCAUUUAUUUGAAAGGGGCAAUUGCUCCACUACAAGAUGGACCUGCGUUGUAUUAGCUAGUAGGUGAGGUAAUGGCUCACCUAGGCGACGAUACAUAGCCGACCUGAGAGGGUGAUCGGCCACACUGGGGCUGAGACACGGCCCAGACGCCUACGGGAGGCAGCAGUAGGGAAUCUUCGGCAAUGGGGGCAAACCUGACCGAGCAACGCCGCGGGAGGGAAGAAGGUUGUCGGAUCGUAAAGCUCGGUUGUAAGUCAAGAACGGGUGUGAGAGUGGAAAGUUCACAAUGUGACGGUAGCUUACCAGAAAGGGACGGCUAACUACGUG
rnacentral:rRNA from 1 species